GAUCAAGUGAAAUAAGGGCAAUUGGUGGAUGCCUUGGCAUGCACAGGCGAUGAAGGACGUGAUACGCUGCGAUAAG
rnacentral:rRNA from 1 species